AUUGACUUAUUUAUUUAUUGAUGCCUUGCGAAGCAAAUAGAUUUUGGAACUCUGAAAAUAUUUGCGACAGCCAUUCGUCCGGAGGUAUAUAGAAGUGGAGAUAUGUGUGUAACAUAUGCCGCCAAGAUAAGCCUGUCGACAGAAUAAAUGCGAGUACAGACUACGCCGUAGCAUAUCAGAGCUACACACAGUGCGUGAUUUAUGCACAUAGUGUGCACUAGACAGGAAGGAGGGCAAAAACAAAGCGUAAAAUUCGCCGAGACAAAUUGGAAUACGUUCCGUGAAGCGAUUCGAAAUCUAUCGAACCGCAAUAUUGCUCGAGGUGUCGAGACGAUCGAAGCAACGAGUUAAUCGCAUAUUUCACGCUGUAAUUACGUCUAUUUGUUUUAACUGCGCUCAAUGCCAAAUCAAGAUAAUAUAUAUACUGAAGGAGAGCUCCAGACCUCUCCGAUUUUGUCGAAAUUACAAUAUCAUGUAAUUUUGUAGAUUUUUUUCAACAAAUUUUAGUACACAAAUGGAUGAACCAUAACAAAUCAGAAUAUGAUCGAUAUAACAAUUAUUUAUUAUCAUUAUAUAUUAUAAUCAAA